rnacentral:lncRNA from 1 species
UACAUAUUUGCCCAAAGUCACACAGCAAGUAAGGGGUAGAGCUGGAAUUCAAACCCAGGCUCAUUUCCCUUUAAAGCACAUCCAUGCCCUUGCCAUUGGGUACCUGCUUUAAGAAGUGUGUGUCCGUAGGUAAGAAGCAAACUACGGAGCAGGCUGAGCCACAACGUAAACAUGCAGCAUAUUCCUAGAUAUAAAUUUUAUUAAAAGACCAAUAUUAAGGUGGAUAAAAAUGCGUACAAUAGGCAACCACUUAUCUAAGAAAGAAAGGAGGAAUAUGAAUACAUAUACUUAUUUACUUACAUUUUACAAAAUGGAAAGAUAAACCAAAAAGGUUUUUUUAAUGUUUAUCUAUUGAAGAGCGGAGGAAACAACAUGGAGGACAGGGUAGAAGGCAGACAUCCCUGAUUAUAUCUUAUUUUGUAGAUUUGACUUUAGAAUCAUGUAAAUAUUUUACAUAAUAACAAUAAAAUUAAGUAAAUACGUAAGAAAAAGCUAAAGCAAAAUGAAACAAAUGAACUUAACUAUCUAUUGAUUUGGUACCAUAACCACAUAGAGAAAAACUAUUUCAAGUCAUUUAAAACCUAUUAAUUGACUGUAUAUGCAUUCCCCUAGUGGGAUAUACACUAAUAAAGCAAAUAAGUAAUGGUAUUAGUGUUCUUGGUGUUUUUUGGUGUGGGAGAAACAAACAAACAAAACAAAAUGAAAGAUCAAUGAAUAUAAGUGAAAUCCCUGUAGUCCUGGAUUUAAUUAUUAGUAAUGACUCUUGAUGCAUUUUAUCUUUUUUAAAAAUGUAUUUCUGGGCCAGUCCUGGUGGCCUAGUGGUUAAGUUUGGUGCACUCUGCUUCGGUGGCUUGGGUUCACUUCCUGGACGUGGACCUACACCACUCGUCUGUCAGUGGCCAUGCUGUAGCGGCAGCUCACUUACAAAAAGAGGAAGAUCGGCAGCAGAUGUUAGCUCAAGAUGAAUCUUCCUCAGCAAAAAAAAAAAAAAAAAUUCCUGGCUCUGUCCACUGAAAAGGACAAGAAACUGAUGAACUCAGUAGCAAUAAACACCUCUAGUCUCCAGAUUGUGGUCUUUAAAUACCAUUUUGCACUAAAAGGAACCAGGACUCUUUGGGGAAAGGUAAGAUGCCAAGUCUGAGACAGGAAAUAUACCAGAUAAUUCUGGAAAUCUUGUCAUAACGGAAAGCAAGGAAGUUAUGAAAGACUACUAGAUUCAUGUCAAAGGACUUAAGUGCCAAUUAGAGGCUCGCAUUGACCAAUGAUGAGAUAAUCGAGCAUCAGUGGAUAUAACAACUACAACUGAUUGAAACUCCUCAAAUAUAUUUGAGUCCAUGAGUACAUAACUAUACUUAAAAGAAAAACCUUAUUGAUCUUCUUUGGAGGAUGUUAGGGAACCAACUCAUCAUUUGGGAAACUGAUAAAUAAAGAGAAAGAAUCAAGUAUUUCUACUGCCUUUCUUAUAUGAAUUGUACCUCAAGAAAAUCAAAUAGUGGGUGAGGGGAAAUUUCUCUUUAUAGAAGUCUUCCAGCUAACAAAUAGAGAAGGAAUGGAUAGAGUUAGAAUAUCAACAUUUUGCAAUCCUUAAUAGAAUAAUAGACCUAGGCAACUAUCAUCAAUGGCUAUUAAUUUCAGAAAAAGAGAAACAACAGAACAUUAUGUGCCUCUUGAUGAAAAUACAAAAAAAUCUCAAAAAAAGAAAACGAAAAAUUCUAUUAAAUAGUGUUUCCAAAAAAUCAAACCUGAAUCUGAUCAAGCCUCUAGAUGUAACUACCAUUUUACAGAAAAUACUAUGAACAGAGGAACCACAAGGAUGCAAUCUGAUUUAGGCUCUUGCUUGUGUAAUUUCCCCAGGCUGUGAGAAACUUUCAUGCAAAUAAUCUGGCUUCCUCAAGAAAGAAACUACAAGGGGGAAAAUAAAUAGACUAAAAGAAACUUAAGAAACAUAUCAACUAAUUGCAAUAUAUUUGAAUUCUGGAAGUAGUUAAAAAGAGGAAGAGGAGGAAGAACAGGAAGAAUAGUUAUGAGGUAACCAAGGAAAUGUAAGCACGGCGUUAACUGCGCAUCAUGAAGUCUUUUAGAUGUGCUAGUCAUACUAUGGCCAUUUUUUAAAGUCUUUUUAAUUUUAGAAAUAUAAGCUGAAAUAUUUACAGAUUAAAUGAUGUAUUGUCUGAGAUUUGCUAUAAAAUGCUCUUGGGGGGGGUGAAGUGGUUGGGAACAAUGUGGAACAAGACUGGCUAUAAAUUGAUCAUUGUUAGAGCUGGAUGUGUUAUACUAUCCUCUUUAUUUUAUAUAUGUUUGAAAUACUCAAUAAUAAAAAAUUUAAAAACCAUUGUUAUGUUAAAAUAAGCUGGUUAAAUUUGGGGGCAGCCAUCUCUUCCGUGUUGACUUUCAGAAAGCUGAGAACUAUCUUCAAGUGCUGAGCUGUCCAGCUGGAGAUUUUGAAGAAACUGGCCAACCCAAAAGGAAAUACCUCUAGAUUCUGGCAAUUGGGGUCUCUCACAAAAUACCUGGGUCUCGACCAUAUCACUUUUCAGUGAUGUCUACUAAUCAACAGAUCCCAAACUUGCACACAGAGUUCAAGCAGUCUUUUACUGCCUUAUGUUUGUGUACUGAUGAACAGGAAAGGAUAUUAAGGGUUUAAAACAAGCUUCCAACAUGAGAGAUAAAGAUCAGAAUUAACUAUCACAAGAAAAAGAACUUGAAAGAAUCAAAGACAAUUCAGGGAAGAGAAGAAAACUUAAAACAAAAAAUCCGCCUAUAAUUAAUAGUGUCAAAGAAGUAUAAGAAACUCACAUCCAUGAAACAAAACCAGGGUGUAUUUUUAAGGUACAUUCAGAGAAUAAUAAUAAUUUUUGACCCCCUGGAAAUUAAUAUAUACAUGUAUGUAGAUAUGCAUAUAUAUAAAUUAAAAGUAAAAAUAAUUAAUAGAAGUUUUUCAAGGUAAAAUUGAAAACACAUCCAGAAAGUAGAAUGAAUAGCCACAGAGAUGGAACUAGGAAAGAAAAAAUUAGAAAACUAGAGGAUAAAGAGAGAAAGUAUACACAUCUGACUAGUAGGAGUCUCAGAAAAAGUGGACAAAGAAAAUGGAGGUGAGAAAAUUAUAAAAAAGUAAUUUCACAAAUUUCCCAAAAGUGAAGGAUAUGAAUUUCUAGAUUGAAGGGGCCUACCAAAUACCCAGCAUGAAGGAUUUACAAAUUCCCAUACCAAAGUAUAUACUUAUAAAAUUUUAGAACACCAAGGGGUAAAGAGAAUCAUCCAGAAUGAGAGAGAGAGGAGAAAGAAGGGUUAAAUACAACAGUUUGGAAGUAAGAAUGGUAGCAAACCGCUCAACAUCAACAAUGGAAACUAUUAGAUAAUGGAAUAAUACCUUCAAAACUUUUAGGAAAAAUGAUUUCAAAUCUAGAAUGCUAUACCCAGCUAAAGUAUCAAUCAAGUAUGAGUCUAAAGUAAAGUGAAGAAGACACUCUUACUAAUGGGUCUUCCCAAAGAGAGCACCAUUCUGUAAUUUGUUAUCCCAGGAAGUUCCUUUUUUACAAUCCAUCUGUUCAGAGGGGGUGCCUUUUUAAAAAAAUUUACUCUAAAUGGUCAUUUGUGUUAGCAAUGACCUUGAAUGCAAAAAUUGUAGGUCCAGAAAGGAUACUACCAACAAAAAUAUGGUAACAAUAGAUUACAAAACAUGCUUGACAAAAAUAAAAUGUUUCAUAUUUCUAUUGGGAAUUUGGACAUGAAUUAGUAAUAAAUAACUAGAAAAUUUAGCAAACAACCAAAAAAAAACCUGAGGCAAUUAUUAACUUCAAGAAAAACAAAAAGUUAUAUAAGAAAUAAAAUGUGAUGAAAGUCACAACAUGACUCAGCUGUAAAAAAAAAAAAAAGAGAGAGAGAGAGGAAAAGAAAUAUUUACAUAUUUAUAUACACAGACACAGACUAUUGAUUUUACUCCAAAUUGUGAUAUAAGUGUAUUGAGAGAAUGAACAAAGGUAAAGUGAAUAUAGAUGAUGGUAUAAGAAAGCUCAGUCCUCAUCUUCCAUAAUAGUCAAUAGAUAAUAUCUAAAAAAUGAAAAGUCAAAAAUAGCAACACAAACAUGAUAUUUCAAUGGAAAUAGGGAAGUAAAUAUCAGAAGAUACAGCUAAACAAUUUUAAAAUGGUAGCCUAUGAGAAGCUAGUAGGGAAUAGCUAUAACCUUGUGUUAGUUUGCUCUUUGAGCUAUGUAAAUAACUAUUUUAAUGAAAAUUUCAAAGAUACAUAAAAAUAGAGAGAAUAGUACAAUGAACUCCCACAUUCUAAUCACUCAGUUAGCCAUUAGCAAGAUUUUGUUAUGCUUGCUUCAUAAGCAUAUUAGUUUUAAAUUUUCAGAAUUAAAAAAAAUAUAUAAAUUCACACAACAAAUGAAUAAUGUGGCUACCUUUGAGGCACACAAGGAUGGAAGGACUUUUUUCUUUUAAACAGUUUUAUUUUUUAUUUUUAUCUUAUAAAUUCUUCUGCCAUGCACUGUUCUAACUACCUUACAUUCAUUUAAUCCUCAUAACAAUUUGAGGUGGAUACUAGUAUCAGCCCCAUUUGACAGAAGAGAGUUGACAAUCAUUUGAAGUUUUUUCGUUGAGCAGGUGUUCCUUUUUAAACAAUCAUUUUGAAAAAUAAUAGGCCAUAGAAACCUAUUCUCCUUCUCAUAUGACAACCAUUUGGUUAUUUGAAUUCUUUUCUUCUCCAGUAUAAAAAGUCCUGGUUCUUCCAAUGAUGCCUCAAAGGUAGAACUAUUAUACAUUGCAGUUGUUAAUAACACUUUCUGUCACUCUCAGAUGUGUCCCAGUUUAGGUAAUAAAUUUUAUGGUCACUCUACUCAUAGGACUUAGUGUUUAGAUCCUUUACCAUGGGGGUGGCCCUCCCCUGGACAUUACUCUUAAGAAGGGUUCUCAGCCCUGAACGCAGCAAAAUACGGAACCUAGUGGGACCGUUGACCUUCCGUAUUCCAAGCUUUCUGCGUCUACUAAGGCAGCUCGGGAGCCUGGGAGUCAUCAGACUUCUGGCUGUGCCACACAAUUGAUUCACAAUGAAUUAGCUGUCAAAUAAACUUGGUCUUUUUCAAGGGUUUCAUUCUUAAACCAGGGCUUUCAGCCCCAUAUUUGUGCUUCUAAUCUUUUCAACUUGCCUGCAGGACUCCGCAUCCGCCUUCCUCCAAAUGUCAUUCGUUCAUAUAGGGUCAUCGUUCCAGCCUGUCAAGAUCAUUUCGAACAUCAAUUCUGUCAUCCAACCUAUUAAUGAUCCUGUUCCUCUUUGUGUCAUCUGGAAGUGUGAUGAGCUGGACACCUACAUCUUCAUCUGAGCCACUGAUGGAGACAUCACAUGACCAGGACUGAAUCACAGGCCCAAAGACCUCUGGCUGGGAAGACACAAACUCUAUCGUCAUCAUACCUCAUUGGGUACAGUGAGUCACCAGUUAGGAAUCCUCCAAGUAGGUCCAUCACGCAGCCCACAUUUCUUCAUUGUUUCCACAAGGAUAAUAUGACAAACCUCUUCAUGCCUUG